GAUGAAGAACGUAGCGAAAUGCGAUAAGUAAUGUGAAUUGCAGAAUUCAGUGAAUCAUCGAAUCUUUGAACGCACCUUGCGCCCUUUGGCUAUUCUGAAGGGCAUGCCUGUUUGAGUAUCAUGAACACCUCAACUCUCGUGGUUUGCCAUGAUGAGCUUGGACUUUGGGGGUCUUGCUGGCCUACGGUCAGCUCCUCUCAAAUGAAUCAGCUUGCCAGUGUUUGGUAGAGUCGCAGGUGUGAUAACUAUCUACGCUUGUGGUUUUCUGCCAGAUAACCUUCAGUGAUGGAGGUUCGCUGGAGCUUAUAAAUGUCUCUCCCCAGUGAGGACAGCUUUUUGAACGUUUGAUCUCAAAUCAGGUAGGACUACCCGCUGAACUUAAGCAUAUCAAUAAGCGGAGGA
rnacentral:misc_RNA from 1 species